rnacentral:rRNA from 1 species
UACGUAGGGUGCAGGCGUUAAUCGGAAUUACUGGGCGUAAAGCGUGCGCAGGCGGUGAUGUAAGACAGUUGUGAAAUCCCCGGGCUCAACCUGGGAACUGCAUCUGUGACUGCAUUGCUGGAGUGCGGCAGAGGGGGAUGGAAUUCCGCGUGUAGCAGUGAAAUGCGUAGAUAUGCGGAGGAACACCGAUGGCGAAGGCAGCCCCCUGGGCUGACACUGACGCUCAGGCACGAAAGCGUGGGGAGCAAACAGG